rnacentral:lncRNA from 1 species
AUCUGAGAUCCAAGGAGUAAGUCAAAGUUUAUUCAGUGACAGGGAGCAGGAAUUAAGUUUAAUUAUUUUUCCAGGCAUAUGUGCAGAACGGUGGGGUGGGAGGCCUGAAUGUGGGUGAGCACUCACUAUGCAUGAAGAACUAAAAGAAUAUUGAAAUGACUGACAUAUGCACUGGUGAGAGAUGGUCAAAUAAAGUGCUCAACAUGCUUUGACUGUUGAAAAGAGACCUUUGGCACACAUUGAAGGGAUGGUGAUGGAGAUGCCAAUCCAUGGAAUCAGGUGGCACAGCUAUGUUGGUAGCUAUAGCAGAAGUCUUCUUGGCAAAGAUUCCUCCAGGGAAGGAAGGUACCAUUGGAGAACCAUGCAUGAAGACAGGGAAGAAAUGAUUGGAAUCAUGAAACAUUAAACUGGAAGGAAGCCCUAGGCAAACCUAACUCAUGGGAAAACAGACACCCACAUGUUACCCAGUUUAGUACCAAAACCAAGGCUGGUAUUUGCAUAAAUAUACUUUUCUUCUCUAUCUAAUAUCAAGGCCUUCUUAGUAUUGUUAAUAGGCCUUAAGCUUGGUUUGUCUACAUAGAAAUCAAAAUAACAAUGUCAACCCAUGAAAGAAUUAAAAGAAGUCCCAAACAG